AGUCCGGGCGCUGCGCUGCGUUCGGCCCGAGCUGUUUGUAAAUUACAUUAGCUGCUCCUUUAUUGCACCCGAACCUCGGGCGACUGAAAAGCCACCGCCCCCACCCCAAACUGCGAGCCGCGCUCCUGGCGCACCCGCCUCCCGCCGGCCUAGCUGCAAUGACCGCACCGGCCCGAAGGUCUCGGUCUCUCCGACCCGGGAUGUGGAGCCCGAAAGAGUGGUGGGAACCCCAGCCCGGGAGGGACGCGGCCGCCGCUCGGGCCAGCCGAUGGGGUGCCAGGCAUUAGAAACCUUCCCUCCAAUCCUCACCAUGUCUCCAUUUUGCCAAAGAAGAAACUGAGGUUAAGGUCGCGAUGCUCUGGCCAGCAUCACAGGUAAACGAUUUUGGCAGUGCCCGGAGAAAGAUAGAAGUAAGACCUAAAGAGGAACUUUCCGCAUGUUAUGGGAGAGCCCCUGGGGCGAGGAGGCGAGGGCAGCCUUCCCCAGGCCAAGGGAGCAGCCAUCGCUCUUGGAUCUGUUUUUCCUCAAGCGUCUGUCCUGUGGGGCCUAGUCCCCAAGCGGCAGUCCUGGACCUAACGGGAGAAGGGGCUGGGGGAAGAGGGCGCACCCCCAGCCCGGGACCCACAGCAGCCCUAGCCAGUCCCCCACUCUCUCCCUCUGUAGGGGCCUCUCUCUGAGAUCGGGUCCUCCUCCUGCAGGGCAGCAGAGUGGAAGCCAGGGCCUGGGACCCUCUGGCUGGGCAAGGAGGGACUGGAGUCCGGCUCCCGGUGACCCCGUCCCCAGUGCCAGCGGUGGGGUCGCCUGUGGCGGCCCGGACAGGCCACGGGUCCCUCUCCCCAAGUCCCAUUACGUUGUAUUUAUGUUUCAUUUUAUAGUUUUUUUUUCCUCCUCCCUUAUUAUUGUCUCACUCUGGGGGAGGCAAAGGAUAUAAUAUAUUCAUCUUUAUUAUACCAAAUCUGUGUGAAGCAUUUAAUAAAACGCUGUUUCCACACAGCCAGGGAUAUUAGUGUGAGCUAUCCUUAAGUUAAUGCUCCUGGACUGAGGGCGCCGCUGCCACAGCGCCUGCUGCCGGCGGGUCGCGGGAAGCGUAGGCCCUGGCCGCCGCGCUCCCCGCGCGGGUCCAACGCCCUGGGUGCCCUUCUCGCCUGCGCCUUGAAGCCCCCACGCCCAUCCUAGCGCGUCUCUCUGUGACCUCUCGGCCGCCAGCCUGGGAGGAGGGGUUUGGAAGAGCCGAAUUCAAGCACCCUUCCUCUCCCCUGCCACACCCUGCAUUUCGAAUCCGCUGUGGGCCUUGGCUUGCAUCUAUGAAAAUGGGAAGAAUUCCAUCACUGCCUCCCUCUCAGGGAUCUUGAGAGGCCGAAGAUGCCUUGAAGGUGGACAGGAUUUUUUAAACAGGAAAGAAAAAAUCGAGAAUUUGUAAGGUCAGGAUCAAUGAGGGCCAGAGAGAAAUAGAGAGGCUGCAGGAGUGGUUUCAGGCAACACAGAGCGAGCUGGACCCCAGGCGAGCAGACAGGGUGCAACUCCAGUUUGGGCAGAACCCAGGAGGUUUCGGCAUGCCUGGGCCUCACCCCAGCCCACGAAGACAGCUGAACCUAGUCAGGAUCUCGGCCUGUCACAGUUGGCCCUCUCAUAAUCCUCCCUCUAGGUAGGAAAAUAGUCUUUUUAAGUCCAGUUUUACAGCUAGCAAACUGAGGCUCACAAAGAUCACGUGGCUUGUUUGAGGUGAACAAACUAGGAAGUAGUGUAGCUGGUCACACUGUCUUCCAGACUCCAUGCCCCUCCCCGCCCCCAUUCUCCAGGGUUUUUCUGUAAACCUUACAUUCUGCCUUCUACACACGCGCGCGCGCACACACACACACACACACACACACACACACAUCCCUACCUGGAGAUGCCCAUGGGAAGGAGAAACACCCUCAUUACUUUCUAUAUCCAGGCCCACUGCUCAGUGUCUUUCAGAGCCCACCACCUGGCUUCUUAUAGGGCCCAGAUCUGGGCACACCAUUCUUACUUAGGCUGCUUGUACCUGUGCUGUAGGGGAGAGGGAGUUGGCUGUAACCAGGCAAAGCCAGGCAGAAGGAGUCAUGCAGGACAGGCUUGAAGUGGGCAGGUGAGUCUCCCUGGCUAGAAUCCAUACUCUCCUAGGAAUCUCAGUCUUCCUCUGCCCCCAUCACCCCAUCCCUGGGAGUGGGGGCUGCACAAGCUCAACACACAUCCUGUAGGCUGCUGGUCAGAGCUCCUUUGGAGACUUAAGUUACUUGAGAAAUCUGACAGUUCCCCCCUGGGGCUGGCUGGGGAGGAGGCACAGACUGUGUGGCAGGGCUAGGACUAGGGUGAGGCAUGUGAGGUGCCAUAUUUAAGGAAGGCAUCUGCUCUCAGCUCUGUGUGUGAUCCCUUAGGUUUUGUGCCGUGGGCAUCUCACUCGCCUCACCCUAGUCCCAGCUCUACUGUGUGGUCUGGGAGUUAGAAUCAAGUCCAGUGAACUGCUGAGAGGGGACAGGGAGGCUGAUUUCAGCUCAUCCUUGAGAAUGGCUUUCUGAAGGAUCAAAGUGGAAACAAUGGAAUGAGCUUCCCCCAACACAUGGAGUAUGCAAGCAGGGCUUAGCGCUUGCUAAGAAGGAAAAUAAUCACGGUCUUAUUGUCAUCACCAAUAUUGUCCUCAUUUGACCAUCACUUUGUGUCAAGUAAAAGCUGUCAUCACAUUGUUUCAUUUAAUGUAUAUAAAUAUGUUUUAGCUGAAUAUGGGAUAUCAGAGUCUCUGACUUUGGGGUCCUUUCCAGCUCCAAGAGUCCAUUGUUGCAUAAGACAAAGAGCACUUCUGUUGAUUUUUGUUGGUUUGAUGCAUUGUCAUUAUUUGUGGACUUAUAGUCUUAUACUAAUGGAUAAGACUUUGAGGGCAGGGACUGUGUCUAAUCACAUUUUUUUAAAUGAUUCCCUCUCCUGUUCCAUGCUGACCACGGGCCUGGGGCACAUAGAAGCUGUUCAAUAAAUGUGUAUCAAACAAACACAUGAGUAA
rnacentral:lncRNA from 1 species